AGAGCUGGAGCUGGUAAAGAGGAAGCGAGGUUGGGAGAAGAAAGCGAAAUACAGGCAGAACGGAGAACUGAACAUUCUACUCCGGAGAAACCCGAACCGAGUGAGCCCUUUGGUAGUGCUUAUCAACAAUGGCUUCGUAGCUUGUUGGGCGAUUUGGUUCUUGUGUGUUCAGUGGGCUGCAUUUGGUCAUUGCCCCUGUUUUUUCCCUGUUCUUUCUUAGUUUCUGCUGUCGUUUGUUAUUCUCUUCUGCUGCUGCUUUCCUCCCUUUACUUCAGCGCAACAUUGAUAUCACAGAAAAACAAGAAAAAACUUCUCUUCGUUGCAACAUUGUUAUUCUCUGCUUCUGAUUUCUUCCAUAUAUUGCGUCU